GACGAACGCUGGCGGCGUGCCUAAUACAUGCGAGUCGGGCGAAGUUUUUCUGGUGCUUGCACUUGAAAAACUUAGCGGCGUGCGGGUGUGUAACGCGUAAAGAACCUGCCUCAUAGACUGGGACAACUGUUGGACAGGAUUGCUGAUAGCGGGUAAGAGCAUUCACUGGAUUGUUGAUGUUUAUAAGUUGGUUUUGCUAACACUAUGAGAUGGCUUUGCGGUGCAUUAGCUAGUUGUUAGGGUAAAGGUCUCGCAAGGCGCGAAUGCAUAUCCGACCUGAGGGGGGGAUCGGCCACACGGUGACUGAAACACGGACCAGACUACUACGAGACGCAGCAGUAGGGAAUCUUCCGCAAUGGGCGAAAGCCUGACGGAGCAACGCCGCGUGAGUGAAGAAGGAUUUCGGUUCGUAAAGCUCUGUUGUUAGGGAAGAAUGAUUGUGUAGUAACUAAACACGGUAGAGACGGUACCUAAACAGAAAGCAACGGCUAACUACGUG
rnacentral:rRNA from 1 species